AGUGAUCGCCGGUGACGCGCGUCUGGGGUCUAUGUUUAUGUCUGUUUGGGUUCCGAUUGGGCGAAGGGUAGAAAUGUGCCUGGCAUCUGCGCGCCGUGGGCGGGAAUAGGCAUGUUUAUAAACCCCAGUGUGCGCGCCGUGGGCGGGAAUACUAGAUUGAGAAACUGAAGACAGAAACGGAGAAGAGGAGAGAGAGGACGCGCAGCGGCGGCGGCAGUGGCGGCGGCUGUGGCUGACUGGAGCUAGUUGGAGGAGGCGCGGCUCCCCCUGCCCCUCCAUCCCAGCACCUGCAUGGACGACCACCUCAGCCUCCUUCACUCGCCUCCGACUUCCUCAGCCAAGCACCGGGGCAACAACAUCGUGAACCACGGCUACACCGAGACCGAGCAGGACAUCAUGACAGUUGUUGCUUGCGAUAACAUGUUGGAGGAGACGGCAGCGCUCCCAGGGCACCAGUCUUUAGACCGCUAUGAGCCCGACCACGAGUGCUGCGAGAGGGUGGUCAUUAAUAUUUCCGGCUUGCGCUUCGAGACGCAACUCAAAACUCUCUCUCAGUUCCCCGAGACUUUGCUCGGGGACCCCAAGAAGAGAAUGCGCUACUUUGACCCGCUGAGAAACGAGUACUUCUUUGAUAGAAACCGUCCCAGCUUCGAUGCAAUCCUAUACUACUACCAAUCGGGGGGGCGUAUCCGGAGACCUGUUAACGUCCCAAUUGACAUUUUCUCUGAGGAGAUACGGUUUUAUGAACUCGGGGAAGAGGCAAUGGAAAAAUUCCGGGAGGACGAAGGUUUCAUCAAAGAAGAAGAACGUCCUUUACCCAGCAACGAAUUCCAGAGGCAAGUGUGGUUGUUGUUUGAGUACCCCGAGAGUUCGGGUCCAGCCAGGGGCAUCGCCAUUGUCUCGGUGCUGGUCAUUUUAAUCUCCAUCGUAAUAUUUUGUCUGGAAACUUUACCCGAAUUCCGGGAUGACAAAGAACCCACUACCGUAGCGCCCAUUAUAAAUGGAACGACACCUUACUUCACUAGUCCUUUUUCAGACCCUUUCUUUGUGGUAGAGACACUCUGUAUAAUAUGGUUCUCUUUCGAACUGCUGGUUAGAUUUUUUGCCUGCCCCAGCAAAGCCACGUUUUCGAAAAACAUCAUGAACAUUAUCGACAUUGUGGCGAUCAUCCCUUAUUUUAUCACGCUAGGGACUGAGCUCGCGGAGCGGCAGGGGAACGGGCAACAGGCGAUGUCCUUGGCCAUUCUCCGCGUGAUCAGGCUCGUGAGGGUUUUUCGUAUUUUCAAGCUCUCUCGGCACUCAAAGGGGCUUCAGAUUUUAGGACAGACACUAAAAGCCAGCAUGCGGGAGUUGGGACUUUUGAUAUUUUUCCUUUUCAUCGGGGUUAUUCUCUUCUCCAGUGCCGUCUACUUCGCCGAAGCAGACGACCCCGAAUCUAGCUUCAGCAGCAUCCCCGAUGCAUUCUGGUGGGCUGUGGUCACCAUGACGACAGUCGGCUAUGGAGACAUGCACCCUGUAACCAUAGGGGGUAAAAUCGUCGGGUCCCUGUGUGCAAUCGCAGGCGUGUUAACCAUUGCCCUGCCAGUCCCAGUAAUUGUUUCUAAUUUUAACUACUUCUACCACAGAGAGACUGAAGGGGAAGAGCAGGCUCAGUACAUGCACGUUGGCAGCUGUCAGCCUUUGUCCUCAACGGAGGAACUGAAAAAGACACGUAGCACGUCCUCCCUCAGCAAAUCGGAAUACAUGGUGAUAGAGGAAGGAAUCAACAGUGCUUUCAAACAGCCCAACUUUACUGCACAGAACAAUCAGAACUGCGUGAACAUCAAAAAGAUUUUUACAGAUGUGUAACCGUUAGAAAAGCGAGAAAUGAUAUAAAUAUAACGACUAUUACUCUACCAAUAAUAAUCGUGACGUGUCAGUGCAAGUCUUGUGUGGAGGCAACGCAAUAGGUAUAUACAUGUGUCCUUUCAGUCCGUGAGCUUCUGAGUACAUUCCAUUCGCUCUUGAGGAGUAGCUCAAGGAUUUUUUCUAGUGUUAAUGGAGCUUCGUGUCCUGCGUUUGAUUCGGUUUAAUUAAGUGGGAUAGAAUUCAAACGCUGCUGUAUUGGACAUCUUUCCGUUUAUUUUCCUUAAAGACAACGGCGAUGUUUGCUUCCAAUGUUCAUUAAUUCUGCUGGUUACGUGAUAUUUCAUUUACUAAGUGAAGUGUCUUCAUUAAAUAAUUAUGUCAGUAAUAUUCUAGCUAUAACAAGCAACGAAAUAUGGAGUGAGAAACUUGAAGAAAUGCUUUAUUAUGAUUACAGCCAAAUAUUGCUCAUAGGUAGACAUAUAUAAUAUAUUUUACAAACGUGUUACCAUGUCAAACGACAACUAAGGUGUAAUGUAGGCUAUUAAAUCUAUUUCGGCUGUUGAAUUACGUUUAAGCGGCCGUAGGUAAGCGCCUGUAACCAUCAAAGGGCACAAUAGAAAAGAGUAGCUUUUUCAUGUAAUGUGGAGAAAAACAUCCCAUUCAUCAAGGCAAUGUUUCGCGUGUACGCAUUGUGCGAUUCAGUCAAUUUAAUCUGAUCAUACUUAUUGGGAGGAGUCGCGGCAACAAUAUCAUCGAAUCACUUCUGAUUGUUUACGUGAAAGAAGUGCCCGUGUUUUCCAAAUCAGUUUGGCCUUCUGAAGACUCCAAGUUUAAAAAUCAAUGCCAGCACAAGCACGAGGACGAAUACACGGUGUUUGCGCGUCUCUCGUGGAGGUGCCGGACAACAAAAAAAGGAGAUCAGAGCCAGCACACGGUUUCCAGUGGAUGCUGCUAAUCCCGCCUAGAGUGAUGCAGUCUCCAUGGCGACCACCGUUUCCUGGAUCUCCCGGAUGCGCGCACGCCCGGGCAGCGCCCCGGCGAUGGAGGAGGGAAGAUGCUGGAAAUUGUGAAUGGAGCUGGAGCAGGCCGUGCUUUACAUCCCGCGUUCACAAGGGGCUGCUCUACACCGUCGAAUGCGC